UACGUAGGGACCAAGCGUUGUUCGGAUUUACUGGGCGUAAAGGGCGCGUAGGCGGCCUUCUAAGUCAGACGUGAAAUCCCCCGGCUUAACCUGGGAACUGCGUCUGAUACUGGGAGGCUUGAGUAUGGGAGAGGGAUGUAGAAUUCCAGGUGUAGCGGUGAAAUGCGUAGAUAUCUGGAGGAAUACCGGUGGCGAAGGCGGCAUCCUGGACCAUAACUGACGCUGAGGCGCGAAAGCUAGGGGAGCAAACGGG
rnacentral:rRNA from 1 species